AGUCACUGACAUUAGAUACCCCCGGUAGUCCAGGGUGUAAACGCUGCAGACUUGGUGUUGGAAGCCCUUGGGGGCAUUCAGUGCCGGAGAGAAGUUGUUAAGUCUGCUACUUGGGGAGUACGUCCGCAAGGAUGAAACUUAAAGGAAUUGGCGGGGGAGCACCGCAACGGGAGGAGCGUGCGGUUUAAUUGGAUUCAACACCGUAAAACUCACCAGGGAAGACUGUUACAUGAAGGCCGAGAUGAAGACUCUGCUAGAUUUUUCAG
rnacentral:rRNA from 1 species